AUACCAACUGUAGUAUCAGCAUCGUAUCGAUACUCGCGUGACGGGAUCGAAAAUGUUCAGUUCUUUUUUGGGUUUACAUUCUUGUUUAAAAAAACGUGUACUUGAACGCAUCAAGGUUGUUCCUACAGCACAUAAAUGCACCAGAAUUAAAGCAAAGCAGAUAUGUUUGGACUGUUGAAGAUUCCACAGAUCUUUGCUCCGAGGUCAAAGAUGUUGAUCCAACAGCGGGUUACUUUAAUCCACGGCAAACCACCUCAAUGUCAAAUUGGCCCAUUGGAAACUGCGUUUGUCCUGACCAUGUUGA